GAUGAACGCUGGCGGCGUGCCUAAUACAUGCAAGUCGAGCGAACAGAUGAGGAGCUUGCUCCUCUGACGUUAGCGGCGGACGGGUGAGUAACACGUGGAUAACCUACCUAUAAGACUGGGAUAACUUCGGGAAACCGGAGCUAAUACCGGAUAAUAUAUUGAACCGCAUGGUUCAAUAGUGAAAGACGGUUUUGCUGUCACUUAUAGAUGGAUCCGCGCCGCAUUAGCUAGUUGGUAAGGUAACGGCUUACCAAGGCAACGAUGCGUAGCCGACCUGAGAGGGUGAUCGGCCACACUGGAACUGAGACACGGUCCAGACUCCUACGGGAGGCAGCAGUAGGGAAUCUUCCGCAAUGGGCGAAAGCCUGACGGAGCAACGCCGCGUGAGUGAUGAAGGUCUUCGGAUCGUAAAAAUCUGUUAUUAGGGAAGAACAAAUGUGUAAGCAACUAUGCACGUCUUGACGGUACCUAAUCAGAAAGCCACGGCUAACUACGUG
rnacentral:rRNA from 1 species